UACGUAGGGGGCAAGCGUUGUCCGGAAUCAUUGGGCGUAAAGCGCGUGUAGGCGGCUCGGUAAGUCUGCUGUGAAAGUCCAGGGCUCAACCCUGGGAUGCCGGUGGAUACUGUCGAGCUCGAGUCCGGAAGAGGCGAGUGGAAUUCCUGGUGUAGCGGUGGAAUGCGCAGAUAUCAGGAGGAACACCGGUGGCGAAGGCGGCCUUCUGGACAGUGACUGACGCUGAGACGCGAAAGCGUGGGGAGCAAACAGG
rnacentral:rRNA from 1 species